rnacentral:misc_RNA from 1 species
GAUGAAGAACGCAGCGAAAUGCGAUAAGUAAUGUGAAUUGCAGAAUUCAGUGAAUCAACGAAUCUUUGAACGCACAUUGCGCCCGCCAGUAUUCUGGCGGGCAUGCCUGUUCGAGCGUCAUUACAACCCUCAGGCCCCCGGGCCUGGCGUUGGGGAUCGGCGGAAGCCCCCUGCGGGCACAACGCCGUCCCCCAAAUACAGUGGCGGUCCCGCCGCAGCUUCCAUUGCGUAGUAGCUAACACCUCGCAACUGGAGAGCGGCGCGGCCACGCCGUAAAACACCCAACUUCUGAAUGUUGACCUCGAAUCAGGUAGGAAUACCCGCUGAACUUAAGCAUAUCAAUAAGCGGAGGA